GACGAACGCUGGCGGCGUGCUUAACACAUGCAAGUCGAACGGAAAGGCCCUGCUUUUGUGGGGUGCUCGAGUGGCGAACGGGUGAGUAACACGUGAGUAACCUGCCCUUGACUUUGGGAUAACUUCAGGAAACUGGGGCUAAUACCGGAUAGGAGCUCCUGCUGCAUGGUGGGGGUUGGAAAGUUUCGGCGGUUGGGGAUGGACUCGCGGCUUAUCAGCUUGUUGGUGGGGUAGUGGCUUACCAAGGCUUUGACGGGUAGCCGGCCUGAGAGGGUGACCGGCCACAUUGGGACUGAGAUACGGCGCAGACUCCUACGGGAGGCAGCAGUGGGGAAUAUUGCACAAUGGGCGGAAGCCUGAUGCAGCGACGCCGCGUGCGGGAUGACGGCCUUCGGGUUGUAAACCGCUUUCGCCUGUGACGAAGCGUGAGUGACGGUAAUGUGUAAAGAAGCACCGGCUAACUACGUG
rnacentral:rRNA from 1 species